GACAGAGGGGGCAAGCGUUGCUCGGAAUUACUGGGCGUAAAGGGCGCGUAGGCGGGAUGGCAAGUCGGUCGUGAAAUCCCUCGGCUCAACUGAGGAUCGUCGAUCGAUACUGCCAUUCUUGAGGAUUGCAGAGGAGACUGGAAUUCCCGGUGUAGCGGUGAAAUGUGUAGAGAUCGGGAGGAACACCGAUGGCGAAGGCAGGUCUCUGGGCCACUACUGACGCUGAGAAGCGAAAGCAUGGGGAGCGAACAGG
rnacentral:rRNA from 1 species